UGCCGACUUCCCUGCGCCUGUCCGAAGGGAACAGUCGAUCAGAAAACAAGCGGCGAACUCCCGGGGAAUCCCUGUCGCGGAGCAGCGUUCCCCGGGGAGGAAUCUCUAGCCCAGGCGCCGACUUCCCAGGAGGACAACCCUCCCGAACACUUCGUGCUGCCGGAUUCGCGGAGAAGAGGGCAAGUGCCGUGGGGACUACAAGAAACUCGACUUUUUCCCGGAGCAGCCCAGGCGCAGUGUUGGUGUCGGAGUCCUACUGAAGGUUGGAAGAAAGAGAGUGAAAGAGGAUCAACAGGCACAAAAUGCUGGAGGAACUCAGCAUGGAGGCCAGGCAGCAUCCGUGGAAAAAGAGUACAGUCCACCCUUCAGGAGAAAAAAGCGGAGGAGUAGUUUUAAAAGCUCGAUGCACUGUGCAAUGAUUUGAUCUUGUGGUGAACUACAUAUACCUGUCUGGACAUGCCCCCUGCUGACUGCUCCUGUGGCUCCUCCCACAGACCCCUGUAUAAAGGCGAUUGAGGCCUGAGCCCGGCCUCUCAGUCUCCAGGAUGUAGUAUGGUGGUCAAUCACUGCUUGUUCCUUCUUCCAGUCACUAAAAGCCGAUAUCUCACCUUUACGUCUCAGAGAGAGUUAUUGAUGGUGCAUCAGGUCUGUAUAAACAUUAUGCAUGGCAAGCUUUUCACUCUAUCUUGCGGCUCUGACAAUGAACCAAAUGAUUUGCAGGAGAGCCAUCAAGCAAUAUCUGAUAAAUAGAUACACAUGGAGAUAGUAGGGCAAGUGAUCAAAAUCUUGGACAUACAUGGUAGGGCAUUGAAGAAUGCAGUAGUACAGAGUGAUCCAGGAAUAAUGGUGCACCGUUCCCUGAAGGUGGAAUCUCAUGUGGACAGGGUGGUGAAGAAAGCUUUUGGUAUACUGGCCUUUAUAAAUCAGAACAUUGAGUAUAGGAGUUGGGAUGUAAUGUUAAAAUUGUACAAGGCAUUGGUAAGGCCAAAUUUGGAGUAUUGUGUACAGUUCUGGUCACCAAAUUAUAGGACCGAUGUCAACAAAAUAGAGAGAGUACAGAGGAGAUUUACUAGAAUGUUACCUGGGUUUCAGCAGCAAGUUACAGAGAAAGGUUGAACAAGUUAGGUCUUUAUUCUUUGGAGCGUAGAAGGUUGAGGGGGGAUUUAAAAUUACGAAGGGGAUAGAAAGAGUUGAUGUGGAUAAGCUUUUUUCCAUUGAGAGUAGGGGAGAUUCAAACAAGAGGACAUGAGUUGAGAGUUAAGGGGCAAAAGUUUAGGGGUAACACGAGAGGGAAUUUCUUUACUCAGAGUGGUAACUGUGUGGAAUAACCUUCCAGAAGAAGUGGUAGAGGCAGGUUCGGUAUUGUCAUUUAAAGUAAAACUGGAUCGGUAUGUGGACAGGAAAGGAAUGGAGGGUUAUGGGCUGAGUGCUGAUCGGUGGGACUAGGUGAGAGUAAGCAUUCGGCACAGACUAGAAGGGCCGAGAUGGCCUGUUUCUGUGCCGUAAUUGUUAUAUGGUUAUAGGCAGAUUUUAAAGAACAGGGAAAGGUAAAGAGAUGUUUGGAAAGGAAUUUGUGAGGUGCAUCCAAGAAAGUUUCUUAAAACAGAAUGUGGAUAGUCUAGUGAGAGGAGGGACUGAUUUGGACCUUGGAUUGGGCAAUGAGCUCAGUGUCAAGUGGGUCAAUAAGACCCAAGACAAUUUGAGUGUGUAGGAAAUGUGGCAAUCAGCAUACAAGCACAACAAAGUAACUUUUACAAUUUAUUAUCAUAAAACAGAAAAGCACAAAUAAACCACUCAAAAUACUAUAUAGUAAGUUACAAAGAUUUCCACAAAGGUUUCAAGGCUCAUGAUUCUUCCUCUCCUCUUGAUCGUUGCUGUCGUUGGGGGACUUGAUUGUCAUGGUUGUUGGGGCACUCCAAAUACCAACUCGUGAAAUCACUCUGGGUCUGUCCCAGCCACGGAACCAUUGCGAUACUUCAGUCUAGAUGAAGUCCCAAAAACCGGGCGAGAAGUGCCCCAAUAAAUAGGGAGUUCCACAAGCAUAGUGGGGCACACAGAGACACAGAAUAACUCUUUAAUCUUUUGUUCUCAGGCCAUUAACUCACCAUGGUUUCUUUCAUUCUCACAACUCAUGUGUUCAUCAACAGACUGAUGCCUUUUAGCCAGGAAAGACUCCAGCCACUAUCAUUGAACAUUGGACAUUAACAACCCUACAGUGGACAGACUUGGACAUACAUCUUGACACCUUUAAUGCUGUGAGCCCAAAGAGUUAAAGUGUCACGUGGAGCUGCUCAGACUACCUUCCAAUGUUUUACAAAAGUUAUUACACCACAACCUACCCGGCCAGAUGAUUGACCUUUCAUGGGAAAAACAUUUGCGAAGAGUGAUCACAACUGUCUAAGUUUUAAGGUAGCUGUGAACAAGGAUAAUAAUAGAUCUUACAUAAAGUAUUAAAUUGGGGAAGGACAGGUGGUGAGAGCAUUAGGCAGGAGCUAUGGAGAAUGAAUUAGGAACAGCCAUUUUGAGCGAAGUCCGCAUCUGACAUGUGAAAGUUGUCUGAAGACAAAUGGCACAAAAUACAGGAUAGGUAUGUUCCAAUAAGAAGGAAAGACAAGGAUGGUAAAGUAGGGUGACCGUGGAUGAAUUGGGAGAUUAUGAAGUUAGUCAAAGUGGAUAACUUCCUUUGCCUGUAAGACUUAGGAAGGUAAAAUUGAACAGAACCCUUGAGAUGUAUAAAUAAGUCAGAAAAGAACUCAAGAAGGGAACUUGGAGUGUCAGGCGGGGCCAUGGAAAGUCCUUUGAAGGUAUGACUAAAGGCAUUUUAGACAUACAUCAAGAACAAAAAGAUAACUAGAUAGAGGGUAGGAUCACUCAAGGAUAACGAAGCGAACACGGAGGCAGAUUAUGUGAGUGAAGCCCUGAAUGAAUGCUUUGUAUCAGCAUUUGCCAAGGAGAAGGACAUGGAGAGCAGUCAGAUCAGUGUGGAACGUGGCAAAAUGCGAGGGCGUUUUGAGAUAAAAGAAGAGGUGGUGUUGGGUCUGCAGUGGGAUCUUCAGAUGGAUAGAUCCCCAGAGCCUGAUGGGAUAUAUCCCAGGUUAUUGCGAUUAGUAAGAUAUGAGAUUGCUGGCACUUGGGCCAUGAUCUCUGUGCCCUCAGGUGAGGACCUAAGGACUAGCACAUAGCCAGUGUUGCUCCUUUGCUCAAGAAGGGAAGUAGGGAUAAUCCUGGAAGUCUUAGACCAGUGAGUCUCACGUCAGUGACAGGGAAGCUGUCGGAGUGAAUUCUUAGGGUCAGGGUUUAUGAGCAUGGCUUAAUUAAGAACAGCCAGCACGGCUUUGUGUGGGGCAAGUCACAUCUUACUGACUUGAAUGAGUUUUCUGAGGUGACAACGAAGAUGAUUGAUGAAGGUAGAGCAGUGUGCUGUAUGUUGUCUACGGGGAUUUUAGUAAGGUGUUUGACAAGGACCCUCAUGGUAGGUUCGUCCAAAAGAUUAAGAUGCAUGAGAUCUGUGGCAACUGUUUGGAUUCAGAAUUGGCGACAGGGAAAGGCAGCUGAUGGGAUUUAUUCUGGUUGUAGGUAGGUCCAUGACUCGUGGUAUUCUGCAGGGAUCCAUACAGAGACCUUUGCUGUUGAUGAUAUGUAUAAAUGACUUGGAUGAAAAUGUGGAUGGGUGGGUUAGUGAGUUUAGAGAUUCAGAUUAAUUUAUCACAUAUACAGUGAAAUGUUUCAUUUCGUUAACUAGUAGCACACCCAAGAUGAAAGUCUUAGGCACUUAUAUAUAUAGCUGGGGAGCCAAAGGCAUUUGCACAGUACUGUAGUUAUUUUAUGUGUUGCACUGUACUGCUGCAGCUUAGAAAAAUAAUCACGGCACAUGUGAGUGAGA